UUUUUUUUUUUUUUUUCCUUCUACUGAACGGUAUCCUUAACAUUUAUGCUUACUUCGAAGAGUCUCAUGAAUCCUUCUAAUGAUUCAAAAAAGUGUAAUUAGUGUACACGGCAGAGUACGCUGCUAUAUUUUUGGGUUUGAUGCAUAAUUAUUUCUUUCACAGCACAAUUUUAAUUAAGGUUGAAAUGAAAUUGAAAAUUAAGUUAUAACUGGUAACAGGUUUCUAGCCAGAUAGAGGAAAUUAUUAAAUAUGCUAUUAUGUGUGAUUUUUCUCAAUUCUAUGUAUUUCCUAUAAUAUUCUAUGAAAAUUAAUUUAAAAGUUAUUUUAAUUCUAUAUAUUUUACUUUGAUUUUAAACACUGGUUAAUAUAACUAAUAUUCAUAACAAGUAUGAAUAAUAAUUAGAUGAUAAACAGUCAAUUGUCACAUAAUCUUUUGGUAAUUUUCUAGUAGAGAUUUCUGUUUUUUUAAAUAAAAGUAAUAAAAUUGCUCAAAAAUGAAAUGUAUAGUGGCUUGCAUCAUCAUAUGAUUGCUGUUUUUCCUCUCAUUCACCUCCUUUUCUUAAUUUUGUCCUCAUAAACAAAUUUAGUGUUCUGAUGCUGACCUACUUACCAUCCAGAUGAAACAAAGAAAAGCUCCAGAGAAUAAGUGCUUUGAUUAAAAAGAGAUAGAAUGGUUAAGAUCUAGAAUUUUUCAGUCAUUGUUCAUAGAAUAUAGUAGAUAAGUGGUGGGAAGUUAUAAAUAUGAUGGUAUGGGUUUGAAUCCUGUCUCCUGGCAGUGACUUGUUUUGUGACUUUGGACAAAUUACCAAAACCAUCUAAAUUCCAAUGUUCUCAUGUAUGGGGGCAAAAAUAUUAUUUGCUAUCAUUAAAUGACAUAAAAGGUAAAUACUGCUUUGCACAUUUUCUGGCAUGCCGUAAGCAGCUACAAACUAUUAGCUAUUAUUUUAUUAUAAUAAUUCUUCAGGCUCUUCUAUGGUUUUUGGAAAGAGGCUCUAUUCUAAGGCCAUAUACAUUUUCUCUUGCCUAUCUCAUUAUCUGUUCUUUUGUCGCUACAGUUUUUUUUAAUCAUUCUUAAUAGAAUAGCUUAUUUGCAUAUAUACUGUCGUAUACUCAAUCAUGAAUGAAACAAUUGUUAAAUUCUUGAAACUUUAUCUCAUCCCUAACUGUAAUUGUAGGAAUUUGUGGAAAAUAAUCCUAGUUUUUAUUGUUUUACUUUAUGGCAGCUAUCAUCUACCUUGUUGUUAUUGUUGGAACUAGACCCCUACUGCCAACAUAAAUCACAAAAUAGUCUUAAAUUUUACUGUAUAAUUGGACCCAAACAAUUUGGUACAAUGGGGCAAAGCCUUUCUUUUUUCCUUUUCACCAAUCUUUAUCAGUAGCCUAAUAAAGUUUCCUGGAACACAGUAGCUAUAAAAUAACUAUUGAAUAUAUGAUAAAACUAGAAUAUCGAGACUACUAUUUUAGAGAUAAUCUGUAAAGAAACUGUUGCUCUAUAUAUAACAUUAGUCCUUUAGGCUUCGAAUAUAUUACAGGAAGAUAAAGUCUCGUGUUUUGCCUAUUUUCUUUGAAUAAAUUAAAGUUUUAAAAUCAUUAUCCAUUAAAAUGAUCAUAUGAUAAAGUAUUAUUAAUAAUUUUAAGUUGACAUUAACCUAUUUCUUACUAUGCGCAGUAAAAUGUAUUUUAAAUAAAUUGUACAUAUGACUUUUUUUUUUUUUUGUCAUUUUAGGGCCACACCCAUGGCAUAGGAAAUCCCCAGGCUAGGGGCCAAAUUGCAGCUAUAGCUGCCAGCCUACACCACAGCCACAGCAACGCAAGAUCUGAGCCUCAUCUGCAACCUACCCCACAGCUCAUGGCAAUGCCAGAUCCUUAACCCACUGAGGGAGGCCAGGGAUUGAACCUAAGUCCUCAUGGAUACUAGUCAGGUGUGUUACCACUGAGUCACGAUGGGGACUCCCAUAUGAUAUUUAAAAACAACAUUGUGACACAGUUCAUAUUACCACCCUUUUGUGGACAGGUAUAGCAGUUUAUCAAAGUUUAUAUGGUUAGUAAGUUAGAACUCUGACUUACCUGUAAUUUUACAUGGCUUAAGUGGAUCAACCUUAGCCACUUUAUGACCACAUUUCUGAAAAUUCUUCCAAAAAUGAAUUAAUUUCUAUACCAAUGUGUUUUGAAUCUGUAUGCAUUCAUCACUGGCUCAAAAAAAAAGGAUAUCUUUGUUAAAACUGCAUUAUUAUUUUUAAUAUGAAAACAAAUGUCCUUUUAAAAUGCAUCUAGUGAUGUCUAAAUCCUAAGAAGCUGCAUUUAUUUAUUUUUUUCUGCUUUUAAAUCAUAGUAUUUGCAACUAUUAUGGUACAUUAUUUUUGGAACAAUAACAUUUAAUAGGAUUAUCUCUUUACUGAUUCAGACUAUCUUAGAGAACUUUUUAAUCUUUUUUCUUUUCUUUUUUUUAAAAUGCCUAUCUUGACUUAAAUGGGACAUUGUAUACAGCCAGGGUACACUGGUGGAAGUAUUAGGGUGGCAAGAUGCCAAACUACACACUGGAAAAGCUGAAUGCAUUUGGAAAUCAGAAAGCAAACUGGUUUUUCAUUAAUUUUUAUAGUAAGCUUGGACAACUGGGGUGAAAAACUGAAUAAAAGGCCAAUCUCUGCAUCAUGCUUUCUGAUUCUUUCUUGACUUAAAAAGAGGCUGUUUACAAAUUCUGUAGAAUCCUUUCUCUUUGUUUUAGCUUACCCAUUUGUCUCAGAUUACUGCUGUUAAAAACGAUUGCUAUGAUAGUGGUGUCUGGUGGGGUCAGACACACACUAAGUGAUUUUCUAUCCUAUUAAUUGUACCAGUAGUAAAAAGGAGCAGCAUUAGUGGUGUGAUUUAGCUACAAGAAAAAAAAAAAAGCACAUUUUGUAUCAUUAUUCAGUAAAGCACUCUUAAGAACAUCUUAAGAAUAUUUUUUUGUGGUAUUGCAUCCGCAUGUGGUGCACAGCUGGGGGCAGAGAACUCU
rnacentral:lncRNA from 1 species